GAAACCCUCUGGAGCCGAGGUCGGUGAGUAAUCCAGAGAGCCGUUACAGCUCGUUAACGGGACAGAUGGCCGGGCGAUCCCAGCAGCCAACAAAGCUUGCAGAGGGACUGGGCUCCCAAAUGCUGCUCCGUGGGGGCUUGUGCUAGAUCUCUACUGGUUGCUGUGUUGAUUUAUUCAUUUACCAGACUGCAGAGCUGUGCAGUGAGCAGCUGGUGCCCUGUUUGACAGCUUUAUAUUUUCAUCAGACCACACAUCAGUUUCUAAGUGUGCAGGAUGGAUGACAAACCCGCCAAUAAAUCAUUUGAGAAGAAAGGUG